CCCUUAGAUGUCCGGGGCCGCACGCGCGCUACACUGAUGCAUUCAACGAGUUUCUUCCUGGUCCGAGAGGAAUGGGUAACCUUUUGAAAGUGCAUCGUGAUAGGGAUAGACUAUUGCAAUUAUUGGUCUUCAACGAGGAAUUCCUAGUAGACGUAGUUCAUCAGACUGCAUCGAUUACGUCCCUGCCCUUUGUACACACCGCCCGUCGCUACUACCGAUUGAAUGGUUUAGUGAGAUCUUCGGAUUGGCGCCACUGUGGCUCAGCAAUGGGCUCGGUGGAUGCCGAAAAGUUGAUCAAACUUGAUCAUUUAGAGGAAGUAAAAGUCGUAACA
rnacentral:rRNA from 1 species